rnacentral:tRNA from 1 species
AUGGGGUUGUGGCUCAGCGGUAGAGCGCUUGCCUAGCAUGUGUGAGGCACUGGGUUCGAUAAGUACUGCAUA